CAAACGAGUCUUACCCUGUACUAAGUGUUUUUCAGAGGAAGAGGCACGCUUCUCUCUGAUACUCCGUAGUGUAUAUAGACACCCGUGUGCAGUGGAUUGCACUGGGAUGGGGAAGGGGAGCACGCCGGGCUGCGCUGCCGGAGAAGCUGGGGUUCCGCAGAAGCUCCUGGCAGCACUUCUUGGAAAUAACUCCCUUGCAUGAUCCCCAGUCUGUGCACAAGAAAUUGUUUGCCACUGCUAAACUCCAACCACUUCUGCAUCCAACACCUGAAUAUUUUGUGUGUAUUCGACUUGCUGAAGUGACCCUUGGUUUAGUCAUUAAUGUGUAUUAUAUGAAACUGUAAAUAGACUUUUUAAAUGAAAAUACUGUGUUGCUUUUAGCCUUUUUUUUUUCCCCUUGACCAUAUGAAAAUUAAAGAAUGCUGUGUUCUCUUUAACUGUCCUGUUUUUUAAUUAAAACAUAAUAUAGUACUUUUUACAUCAUAUUACAACUUAUUAAAAAUUACAAGUCCUGUCAUUAUUGUUUUGUUGUACAGUCUCUGAUUUACUCUCUGUAACACGGAGUUCUUCAGUAUGAUGUUGAAUUAGAUGCGAAGCAGAGCGGUUAACAUGCCAAGAGUUAAUAGCUGUUACUGACUCGUCUGUUCCGGCUUGGUUUUUGCCCGUGAUCCUUCACAACUGGAAGGAUUCCCUGCCCCGAUGUACGUGUGUGUGUAUGUAGGCAGACUACUGGGGUCAUGCAAAGGGUGCAGAUCUUGGAAUAAUGAAAAUUGUCUAAAAUCCUUGUACAUAAAUAAAGAUAUAGUAUAAAUACUGGUACUGUUGAAG
rnacentral:lncRNA from 1 species